UACGGAGGGGGCUAGCGUUGUUCGGAAUUACUGGGCGUAAAGGGCUCGUAGGCGGCCAACUAAGUCAGACGUGAAAUCCCUCGGCUUAACCGGGGAACUGCAUCUGAUACUGGAUGGCUUGAGUUCGGGAGAGGGAUGCGGAAUUCCAGGUGUGGCGGUGAAAUGCGUAGAUAUCUGGAGGAACACCGGUGGCGAAGGCGGCAUCCUGGACCGACACUGACGCUGAGGAGCGAAAGCCAGGGGAGCAAACGGG
rnacentral:rRNA from 1 species